AGCGAACGUUAGCGGCACGCCUAACACAUGCAAGUCGCACGAGAAAGGGAGCAAUCCUGAGUAGAGUGGCGCACGGGUGCGUAACACGUAGAUAACCUGCCCUUUGGAGGGGGAUAACGUUCCGAAAGGAGCGCUAAUACCGCAUACAGCAAGAGCCGUUUUGCCGGUUUUUGGCAAAGGUAGGGACCCGCAAGGGCCUACCGCCAGAGGAGGGGUCUGCGGCCCAUCAGCUAGUUGGUGAGGUAAUGGCUCACCAAGGCAGAGACGGGUAGCUGGUCUGAGAGGAUGAUCAGCCACACUGGUACUGGAACACGGACCAGACUCC
rnacentral:rRNA from 1 species